rnacentral:rRNA from 1 species
GGAUUAGAUACCCUGGUAGUCCACGCUGUAAACGAUGGGUACUAGAUUUGGUGGGUCUUGACCCCCGCCGAAUCGGAGCUAACGCGAUAAGUACCCCGCCUGGGAAGUACGGUCGCAAGACUAAAACUCAAAGGAAUUGACGGGGGCCCGCACAAGCGGUGGAUCAUGUGGUUUAAUUCGAAGCAACGCGAAGAACCUUACCUAGGUUUGACAUCUCUGGACCGAUGUAGAGAUACAUUUUUCGUAGCAAUACGACCAGAAGACAGGUGCUGCAUGGCUGUCGUCAGCUCGUGCCG